rnacentral:lncRNA from 1 species
UGACUACCGGCUGAUACUCAAAGAGUGGCAGUCAGCACUUCCUGAAGCUGAUGGUUUUAGAUUAAGAUCUCUGAUGAAUGGGAAGAAACGCAAAGUGUUGCCCCAGGCUAUCGAGGCAGAUCUGGAUUGAUGUUGCCAAGUGAGCACAGGAGGCUUUGGAGGGAGUGAGAAUUCAGGCUUCACAGAGGCUUCUCCUGUGGUUGUGUUGAGGGGAGCCCCUCGCCUGGCUCUGCUGCGUUGGAGCAGUGACACUGCUGGCCUGGCACCUGCCUGCCUGCUGGUGAUCACCUGCUGGAACUGCCUUACUGCAGAGGAGCGUGAAGGACCUGCUGUAUGGGAAGUUUUCAUCUGCUUCAUUGGAGACGCACUUGGGCCCUCAGAACACCUACUAGGCAUGUUGGCAGUUCUUCAGGUUAAAAGAGAGUAAACAUCAAGAGAAACAAGCAAAAAGGAGAGGUGUGUGACUCCUAUCAGGGAACUCGGAGCCCAUUUCAAGUUACUGCAUACUCAAGAGAAAGAUAAAUGCAAAGGAACUGUUCAUGUGUUCAGUGUGUAAAAUUCACAAAGAAGGAAAUGGCAUCUAAGUAAGUUUAAUGUACAACAUGUGCAAAUUCAGCCUUGCAAAGAUUGUCAUAACAUUUUCAAGCUCUUGUCCAAAUUCUGCUUGCUUUCCUGUAUAGAUAAUUAUGUUAGGUAAAACCCUUC